UACGUAGGGUGCGAGCGUUAAUCGGAAUUACUGGGCGUAAAGGGCUCGUAGGUGGCCAACUAAGUCAGACGUGAAAUCCCUCGGCUUAACCGGGGAACUGCGUCUGAUACUGGAUGGCUUGAGAUUGGGAGAGGGAUGCGGAAUUCCAGGUGUAGCGGUGAAAUGCGUAGAUAUCUGGAGGAACACCGGUGGCGAAGGCGGCAUCCUGGACCGGUAUUGACGCUGAGGCGCGAAAGCUAGGGGAGCAAACGGG
rnacentral:rRNA from 1 species